rnacentral:ncRNA from 1 species
UGAUAGCUAUGAAGCGUGAGGUUGCUGCACAUGAUGCAGGUUUUUCCGUGGAGCGAAUGUCAAGUUAUGAAACUGGCGACAA